CAGAAACAGAAGCAGAAGCAGAAGCAGAAUCAGAAGCAGAAGCAGAAGCAGCAGACGCCCCCUGUGCACCAGCCAUCUGGAUUAUCAGGGAGGCAUCAUCCAGGCAGGGAAACACAAAGGAGUACUUGGAAACAAAAGUCAGACCAAGCUUGCCCUGAAGAGACAGGACUUUCUUAGACAAGAGAAAAGCAACAACAUUUUAUUUACUUCAUAUGUUUUAAGGUAUUGGGCCAGCAUCCAAAGUGAUUAUUGAGAACAUUACUGAAUUGGAACUAAGCUGAGGACAAAAGAACCAGGAACCAAUGAAGACAAGCAGCCCAGGUGAUUCAGCCUCCCAGAAUGCCUCUAUUGCUGUUUCCUCAGAAACCCGCAACCAGAAAAUCUUGGAAGUGGCUAGCUAAGAUGGUUCAGCCUCACAGACUACUCCAGCUAGGACUUCAGGAAAGCCCUGCAAUCUCACAUCACACAGAGACUGGACCACAAUAAAGUUAGAUCCUUCCAAGACUAUGCUAAGUUUUCAGGGUGCCCUAAAAAGGCCACCAUGUCCAGACAGCAGA